rnacentral:rRNA from 1 species
CCUACGGGAGGCAGCAGUGAGGAAUAUUGGUCAAUGGACGAGAGUCUGAACCAGCCACGUAGCGUGAAGGAUGACUGCUCUAUGGGUUGUAACCUUCUUUUAUAAGGGAAUAAAACGAGGUACGUGUGCCUUAUUGCAUGUAUUUUAUGGAUAAGGCACGGCUAACUCCGUGCAAGCCGCCGCGGUAAUCCGGAGGGUCCGAGCGUUAUCCGGAUUUAGUGGGUUUUAAGGGAGCGUAGAUGGCAUGUUAAGCAUGUUGUGAAAGUUUGGGGCUCAACCGUAGAAGUGCAAUUGAUACUGGCAGUCUUGAGUACAGUGGAGGCAAGCGGAAUUCGUGGUGUAGCGGUGAAAUGCUUAGAUAUCACGAAGAACCCCGAUUGCGAAGGCAGCUUACUGAACUGUGACUGACACUGAUGCUCGAAAGUGUGGGUAUCAAACAGGAUUAGAUACCCGUGUAGUA